rnacentral:lncRNA from 1 species
CUUAAUGAUUUUGAUAGAACAUUUAAAGUUGAAAUAUGUUUUGACUUUUGGCCUCCACAAUGAGAAGUACGUGCCUCUUACUCUCAAUGUUCCCAAUUCUCAACUCUCUUCUCUCUGAGUUGCAGGUGAGCAGGUCCAGGUCUGCCCUUUCCAUGUGCUUCAGAUUCCUCCUCCUCCUCCUCCCCUGGACCAACCACCACCCACUCGUACAUUGCAGGGAUUCACAAGUAGUGGUCUGCUUGGAAGGACAGUUCCGGUCUCACACCAGCUCCAAGACCAGGCUUGAGACUGCUAACAGAGACGAGCCCACCAAGAGUGACAACAAAACAAAAGACCUUUUGGAUGAAGGAACCAACUUGAGGAAGGAGAAGGUAAAGGUGGU